CCUACGGGUGGCAGCAGUGGGGAAUAUUGGACAAUGGGCGAAAGCCUGAUCCAGCCAUGCCGCGUGUGUGAAGAAGGCCUUCGGGUUGUAAAGCACUUUCAGUGGGGAAGAAAGCCUUGGGGCUAAUACCCUCGAGGAAGGACAUCACCCACAGAAGAAGCACCGGCUAACUCCGUGCCAGCAGCCGCGGUAAUACGGAGGGUGCGAGCGUUAAUCGGAAUUACUGGGCGUAAAGCGCGCGUAGGUGGUCUGAUAAGCCGGUUGUGAAAGCCCCGGGCUCAACCUGGGAACGGCAUCCGGAACUGUCAGGCUAGAGUGCAGGAGAGGAAGGUAGAAUUCCCGGUGUAGCGGUGAAAUGCGUAGAGAUCGGGAGGAAUACCAGUGGCGAAGGCGGCCUUCUGGACUGACACUGACGCUGAGGUGCGAAAGCGUGGGUAGCAAACAGGAUUAGAUACCCUAGUAGUC
rnacentral:rRNA from 1 species